GUUAGGAAUAUUGGACAAUGGGCGAAAGCCUGAUCCAGCCAUGCCGCGUGAACGAUGAAGGCCUUCGGGUUGUAAAGUUCUUUAGCCGAUGAUUAUAAUGACUGUAGUCGGAAAAUAAGCCCCGGCUAACUUCGUGCCAGCAGCCGCGGUAAUACGAAGGGGGCGAGCGUUAUUCGGAAUCACUGGGCGUAAAGCGUGCGUAGGCGGUUUUGUAAGUUAGGAGUGAAAGCCCAGGGCUCAACCUUGGAAUUGCUCUUAAAACUGCAAGGCUCGAAUCUCGGAGAGGAUAGCGGAAUUUCCAGUGUAGCAGUGAAAUGCGUAGAUAUUGGAAGGAACACCAGUGGCGUAAGCGGCUAUCUGGACGAGUAUUGACGCUGAGGCACGAAAGCGUGGGGAUCAAACAGGAUUAGAUACCCUUGUGUCC
rnacentral:rRNA from 1 species